rnacentral:rRNA from 1 species
CCUACGGGAGGCAGCAGUGGGGAAUUUUGGACAAUGGGCGCAAGCCUGAUCCAGCCAUGCCGCGUGCGGGAAGAAGGCCUUCGGGUUGUAAACCGCUUUUGUCAGGGAAGAAAUCCUUUGAGCUAAUACCUCGGGGGGAUGACGGUACCUGAAGAAUAAGCACCGGCUAACUACGUGCCAGCAGCCGCGGUAAUACGUAGGGUGCGAGCGUUAAUCGGAAUUACUGGGCGUAAAGCGUGCGCAGGCGGUCUUGCAAGACAGGUGUGAAAUCCCCGGGCUUAACCUGGGAACUGCACUUGUGACUGCAAGGCUGGAGUACGGCAGAGGGGGAUGGAAUUCCGCGUGUAGCAGUGAAAUGCGUAGAUAUGCGGAGGAACACCGAUGGCGAAGGCAAUCCCCUGGGCCUGUACUGACGCUCAUGCACGAAAGCGUGGGGAGCAAACAGGAUUAGAUACCCUGGUAGUCCACGCCCUAAACGAUGUCAACUGUUGUUGGACGUCUUGCUGUUCAGUAACGAAGCUAACGCGUAGAAGUUCGACCGCCGUGGGGAGGUACGGCCGCGAGGUUAGUAACGUACGAAAGGAAGUUAGUACGGCGUGAGACGUAGACCGACGGACGACGACGAGGGAGGAGG